AAAAAUUUAUUUUUAUUAAUAAUUCAUUAAAUUUAUAAUUACAAUUUUGACGUUAUCCCCACGCUCAUUGUGUCCGAACACGAUGAAUGAUUCACCAUAUCCGAAGAAAAUACAAAUAUAUGUAUUGCGAAAGAAUAUACAUGUCUAGAAAAAAUAUAUAUUGCGAAAAAAUAUAAAUAUUGAAAAGAAUCAUUUAUCGUGUUCAACUUAACACCGCUUCAACUCGCGUGGUGCUGAUGUGGCGUCUGCGUGACAGGGAUAGAGUCAAAUUUACAAUUAUAAACUUGAUGGAGCUAUUUGUGGAAAAAAAAUUUAGGGGGCCAAAUGCAAAAAAACCCUUUUAUACGAUUAUUCUGGGCUUUUUUUGCAUUGGGCCCCCUCAAAAUAUUUAUUUUUUCAAAUAAUCACAUCAUAUUUACAAUUACAAUUUUGGUCUUAUCCCUGCCACACAUAUGCCAUAUAAGCGCCACGCAAGCAAGGGGAGGUGCUGGAAUAAGUUGAACACGAUAAUUCAUUCACCGUGUUUAAAUAUUCACCGUGUUUUGAACACGGUGAAUGAUUCACCGUAUUUAAAGAAAAUAUAUAUAUUGCGAAAAAGUAUGAAUAAAUAUAAACAUUGAAAAGGAGAAUAAAAGGAAUAUAAGUAUGGAACAGUGAACCAUUUACCGUGUUUGAAUACGUGAAUGAUUUAUCGUAUUCAACUUAACACCCUCCCAACUCGUAUGGCGCUGAUAUGGCUCCUGCGUGGCGGGGAUAGUGCCAAAUUUGCAAUUAUAAAUUUGAUGGGACUAUUUGUGAAAAAACAAAAUUUAGGGGGCCCAAAUG
rnacentral:lncRNA from 1 species